rnacentral:rRNA from 1 species
CCUACGGGGUGCUGCAGUGGGGAAUAUUGGGCAAUGGGCGCAAGCCUGACCCAGCAACGCCGCGUGAAGGAAGAAGGCUUUCGGGUUGUAAACUUCUUUUCUCAGGGACGAAGCAAGUGACGGUACCUGAGGAAUAAGCCACGGCUAACUACGUGCCAGCAGCCGCGGUUAGACGUAGGUGGCAAGCGUUAUCCGGAUUUACUGGGUGUAAAGGGCGUGUAGGCGGGACUGCACGUCAGAUGUGAAACCCAGGGGCUCAACCUGUGGUCUGCAUUUGAAACUGUAGUUCUUGAGUACUGGAGAGGCAGACGGAAUGCCUGGUGUAGCGGUGAAAUGCGUAGAUAUUAGGAGGAACACCAGUGGCGAAGGCGGUCUGCUGGACAGCAACUGACGCUGAGGCGCGAAAGCGUGGGGAGCAAACAGGAUUAGAUACCCGAGUAGUC